ACACCUCAACUCUUCAUGGUUUUCCGUGAUGAGCUUGGACUUUGGGGGUUUGCUGGCCUAUGGUCGGCUCCUCUAAAAUGAAUCAGCUUUCCAGUGUUUGGUGGGCGUCACAGGUGUGAUAACUAUCUACGCUUGUGGUUUUCCCACCAGGUAACCUUCAGCAGUGGAGGUUCGCUGGAGCUCACAGAUGUCUCUCCUCAGUGAAGACAACCCUUUGAAU
rnacentral:misc_RNA from 1 species